rnacentral:rRNA from 1 species
CCUAGUUGAUCCUGCCAGUAGUCAUAUGCUUGUCACAAAGAUUAAUCCAUGCAUGUGUAAGUAUGAACAAAUUUAGAUUGUGAAACUGCGAAUGGCUCAUUAAAUUAGUUAUAGUUUGUUUGAUGGUAUCUACUACUCUGAUAACCGUAGUAAUUCUAGAGCUAAUACGUGCAACAAACCCCGACUUCUGGAAGGGAUGCAUUUAUUAGAUCAAAGUUCGACGCGAGCUCUGCUUGUUGCUGCGAUGAUUCAUGAUAACUUGAUGGAUCGCACGGCCAUCGUGCCGGUGACGCAUCAUUCAAAUUUUUGCCCUAUCAACAUUCGAUGGUAGGAUAGUGGCCUACCAUGAUGGUGACGGGUGACAGAGAAUUAGGGUUCGAUUCUGGAGAGAGAGCCUGAGAAACGACUACCACAUCCAAGGAAGGCAGCAGGCACGCAAAUUAUCAAAUACUAGCACGGGGAGGUAGUGACAAUAAAUAACAAUACCGGGCUCUAUGGGUCUGAUAAUUGGAAUGAGUACAAUCUAAAUCCCUUAACGAGGAUCCAUUAGAGGGCAAGUCUGGUGCCAGCAGCCGCGGUAAUUCCAGCUCCAAUAGCGUAUAUUUAAGUUGUUGCAGUUAAAAAGCUCGUAGUUGGACUUUGGGAUGGGCCGGCCGGUCCGCCUUAGGUGUGCACCGGUCGUCUCGUCCCUUCUGCCGGCGAUGCGCUCCUGGCCUNAUAAUUUGACUUUGGUAUGGGCCGGCCGGUCCGCCUUUGGUGUGCACCAGUCGUCUUAUCACUAUGACGGGCGAUGCGCUCCUGGCUUUAAUUAGCCGUGCCUUGCCUCCGGUGUUUUUACUUUGAAGAAAUUAGAGUGCUCAAAGCAAGCCUAUGCUCUAUAUACAUUUGCAUAGGAUAACAUUAUAGGAUUUCGAUCCUAUUACAUUGGCCUUCAGGAUCGGAGUAAUGAUUAACAUGGACAGUCGGCGACAUUCGUAUUUCUUAGUUAGAGGUAAAAUUCUUGGAUUUAUGAAAGAUGAACAACUACGAAAGCAUUUGCUAAGGAUGUUUUCAUUAAUCAAGAAUGAAAGUUGGGGGCUCGAGGACGAUCAGAUAUCGUCCUAGUCUCUGUCACACCUCCUUUUUCCGCCCCCGCGAGGGGCGUAGGAGUUUUUUCCAGUUAAAGGACAAUCGAAAUGGGAUUUGUUUAUUUAUUUCAGAGUCACCACUUGGGAGAUUUAGGGUGUCCCAAGUCACCAAUUUUAAUCCCGAAUCGAGGAAAAGAAUGACUCUGUAUUACAGUCUACGAUCCAGAAAUCCGGAUAAGGAAUUCUGUUAACCCGGGAGAAGGUGUUAGGCAUUCCCGAAUUCCGUGGUUCUAGCACGGUCGCUCAACUGUCAUAUUCGGUUUAUUUAUCAGAUUUUUAUACAAUUAUGAACCGAUGUGCCAAUUUUAACUUUUUACCACUUUAUUAUUAUUAUUUUUUUAAAACAAAUGUGAACAUCGCUUAAAACACGUCUUUGGACUGCGUCACAUGAAAUGCACCCACAAUCCGGAACACAUUUUAUUUGAUGUUUUGGGAUUUGGAUUUGGGUCGCAUGAAAUGCACACCCGUGUUUAGGAAUGUAUUAUUAUUAAAAUCGUGCCUAAAGCGAUUAGCGUAUUAUUAUUUCUGGGUAAGACCGUGGAAUUCACUAAAUA